rnacentral:lncRNA from 1 species
GUUCAUUCUUCUCAUUUUGUAUUAAAAUCGUAAUCUUUUGUAUGGAAAUUGAUUAGAUGCCUGUCUGUGCAACAUUUAAUUUCCAUCAAGUAGAUGGUCCACACCCAUAUUGUAAAGAAAUGGUCCCAUUGUGUUCUAUACUUCUAUUCAUCCAAAAUCGUCAUGGCUGAAAACUAGUUCAGGUCCUGAUCAGCUUAAUGGUCCUCACCGUUAUUGCAUGCAAGUAGCUCCUGAUCAUGAAAACUGCAAUAUUUCUCUCUUGAAAUAAUUGCAACCAUAAAUGCUAUUAAUUAGGUCUAUUUAGUGCAACACUUUCCCUUGAAAUAAUUGCAACCACAAAUAUUCUUAGUUAGAUCUAUUUAAUUACUUUUUAGUUUGAAGAACUUAAACUUCACACUUUCAGAAACUUGACUGUUAAAGCUAAAAGCUUAAACUGUUAGGAUAUGUCACUUGUAGCCCCAUAUCCUCACCUGGAGAGAUAACUCGACAGUAGUUAUAGAUUACAGAUAGGUAGAUGGGGGAAUAAUCAGUAGGAGAGACUUGAAUUCAAGACUUCUAGUUAACUAUAACUUUGAUACCAGGUUAAACUACUAAUUUACUUAAAAGCUUAAACUAGUAGGAUACAAGUGCCAUAUCCUCACCUGGAGAGAUAACUCGACAGUAGUUAUAGAUUACAGAUAGGUAGAUGGGGGAAUAAUCAGUAGGAGAGACUUGAAUUCAAGACUUC